GGUUUGAUUAUGGCUCAGAUUGAACGCUGCGGGAUGUUUACACAUGCAAGUCGAACGGCAGCACGGACUUCGGUCUGGUGGCGAGUGGCGAACGGGUGAGUAAUGUAUCGGAACGUGCCUAGUAGUCGGGGAUAACUACGCGAAAGUGCGUAACCAAUGUCGCAUACGCCCUUCGUGUAAGCGGGGACCUUCGGGCCUCGCACUAUUAGAGCGGGCCGAUAUCGGAUUAGCUAGUUGGUGGGUAACGGCUCACCAAGGCGACGAUCCGUAGCUGGUUUGAGAGGACGACCAGCCACACUUGGGAUCGAGACACGGCCCAGACUCCUACGGGAGGCAGCAGGGGGGGGAAUUUGGACAAUGGGGAAACCCUGAUCCAGCCAUCCCGCGUGUGCGAUGAAGGCCUUCGCCAGGUACAAUUUUUGCAGGAAGAACGGCACGGGAUAAUACCCGCAACUGACGGUACUGCAGAAUAAGCACCGGCUAAAUCGUCGUGCCAGCAGCCGCGGUAAUACGUAGGGUGCAAGCGUUAACGGGAAUUACUGGGCGUAAAGCGUGCGCAGGCGGUUCGAAAGAAAGAUGUGAAAUCCCAGAGCUUAACUUUGGAACUGCAUUUUUAACUACCGAGCGAGUGUCAGAGGGAGGUGGACCGCGUGUAGCAGUGAAAUGCGUAGAUAUGCGGAGGAACACCGCACGCUAAAGGCAGCCUCCUGGCUGGGUCACCGACGCUCAUGCACGAAAGCGUGGGGAGCAAAUACAGGAUUAGAUUCCGGUAGUCCACGCCCUAAACGAUGUCAACUAGCUGUUGGGGCCUUCGGGCCUUGGUAGCGCAGCUAACGUGAAGUUGACCGCCUGGGGAGUACGGUCGCAAGAUUAAAACUCAAAGGAAUUAUUUGGGACCCUGCACAAGCGGUGGAGAUGUGGAUUAAUUCGAUGCAACGCGAAAAACCUUACCUACUCCUUGACAUGUUCAAAUCCCGAAGAGAUUUGGGAGUGCUCGCAAGAGAACCGAACACAGGUGCUGCAUGGCUGUCGUCAGCUCGUGUCGAGAUGUUGGGUUAAGUCCCGCAACGAGCGCAACCCUUGUUUGUUAGCUGCUACGAAAGGGCACCUAAUGAGACUGCCGGUGACAAACCGGAGGAAGGUGGGGAUGACGUCAAGUCCUCAUGGCCCUUAUGGGUAGGGCUUCACACGUCAUACAAUGGUCGGGACAGAGUGGUCGCCAACCCGCGAGGGGGAGCCAAUCCCAGAAACCCGAUCGUAGUCCGGAUCGCAGUCUGCAACUCGACUGCGUGAAGCUGGAAUCGCUAGUAAUCGCGGAUCAGCAUGUCGCGGUGAAUACGUUCCCGGGUCUUGUACACACCGCCCGUCACACCAUGGGAGUGGGUUUACCAGAAGUAGUUAGCCUAACCGUAAGGAGGGCGAUUACCACGGUAGGAUUCAUGACUGGGGUGAAGUCGUAACAAGGUAG
rnacentral:rRNA from 1 species